rnacentral:rRNA from 1 species
AGUGAACGCUGGCGGUAGGCCUAACACAUGCAAGUCGAACGGCAGCACCGUAAGAGCUUGCUCUUACGGGUGGCGAGUGGCGGACGGGUGAGGAAUACAUCGGAAUCUACUUUUUCGUGGGGGCUAACGAAGGGAAACUUACGCUAAUACCGCAUACGACCUACGGGUGAAAGCAGGGGAUCUUCGGACCUUGCGCGAUUGAACGAGCCGCUGUCGGAUUAGCUAGUUGGCGGGGUAAAGGCCCACCAAGGCGACGAUCCGUAGCUGGUCUGAGAGGAUGAUCAGCCACACUGGAACGGAGACACGGUCCAGGCUCCUACGGGAGGCAGCAGUGGGGAAUAUUGGACAAUGGGCGCAAGCCUGAUCCAGCCAUACCGCGUGGGUGAAGAAGGCCUUCGGGUUGUAAAGCCCUUUUGUUGGGAAAGAAAAGCAGCAGGUUAAUACCCCGCUGUUCUGACGGUACCCAAAGAAUAAGCACCGGCUAACUUCGUG